rnacentral:tRNA from 1 species
GCCGUCUUAGCUCAGUUAGGUAGAGCGUAUCCAUGGUAAGGAUGAGGUCAGCGGUUCGAACCCACUAGACGGCU